AACGAACGCUGGCGGCACGCCUAACACAUGCAAGUCGAACGAGAGAAGGACUUCGGUCUGGAUCUAGUGGCGAACGGGUGCGUAACACGUGGGAACCUACCCUUUAGUAAGGGACAACUCGAGGAAACUCGGGCUAAUACCUUAUACACCCUUCGGGGGAAAGAUUUAUCGCUAGAGGAUGGGCCCGCGCUAGAUUAGAUAGUUGGUGAGGUAAGAGCUCACCAAGUCUACGAUCUAUAGCUGGUCUGAGAGGAUGAUCAGCCACACUGGGACUGAGACACGGCCCAG
rnacentral:rRNA from 1 species